rnacentral:lncRNA from 1 species
CACAUAAGGUUUUAGUAUUGUUUUCCCCCUCUGUCGUCUCUCUCACUCCACGCACAGAGAGUUUUCACUCCAUUCCCAGGUAAGUCGACCCCUCUUUCUCUCUCUCUCUCACACACUCACUCACCCGAUCGAUCUCCUCUUUUUGUUUUUGAUUUCCCAAAAAACUUCGAGUUUUAGGGAUUUUAUACUGUUUCAAACCCUAGGUUUAAAAAAUUAGUGUUUUUCUCUUGAUUUUAUAGUGUUUCAACCCACCUAAAAGGGGCUUACAGUCUUCAAGAUCCAGCAUUGAUGUAAACGCCAGUCGGGGCAAAGUUUUCGACCAUCAUUAACAUAUUAUAACCUGAGUAGUUGUUGAUAUAUUUAGCUUGACAUCUAAUAUUAUUGAAAAAGUAUGCUAUACUGUAAGUCUUUUUAUUUUUUUAUUUUUUUAUUUAUGAAAUAGAUCUCUGCUGUUAGAGUAUGUGGUUUUGAUAUUUGUGUCUUGUGUGUGUUAGUGAAUUAAGUGAUGGGUGAGGAUUUGGUAGAGUAAUAAUUAUUCCUGUUUGUCUUUAAUGGAGUACUCAUUCCAUUGAUGAUCUUGAAAGUUUGGUAAAUGGUUAACUCAAAGGCUUUUUAUAAGUCUUCUAAUAUUGACUAUGGUAGGGCCUUCCUUAUAGAGUGAAGAUUACUUUGAACACAUUGAAAUUUGCUUAGAUGAGUUUCUUGUUUAUGUACGAUAAAUAUGUAUAGUUUUUCUGUAAGUUCUUAAGCAUUUGUAAUCACUACUGUUAAUCUCUUUUCUGAAUGAAGGCGUGUUUUGCUUUCUAGUCACAUUUCUCUUACUUCUUUCCUAUGAAGGGAAAUUAAUUGGUUGAAAAUGAAUAAUGUUGUUUCCUGCUGUAUGCAGAAUUAUGGCACUACUUUGGCACUCUUCAAAUGGACCUAAAGUUAUCACAACAAUUAUUGCCUAAGUAUGACCAUCCAUAACUUUACUCAAGACCAGUCCCUUAUUCACAUCCAUUUCAAAUAUCUUAGGUGCUUAUGCCUCAUUCACUUAUCUUAUGUUGCUAUAUAAGUAAUUGUUACUUAUCAUUUGUUGAGAUUAUUUAUUAUUUCAUUCUUUCAUACUUGUAUUUUGUAUUAGCCAUUAGGUAAUUAGUUAGUGUUAGUAAUUGUACAACUACUAUGAAUAGGACAUUAACUUUGUAUUUCUUUUUUUUUUCUAUGAGUAACAAUAAUCAGAUUAGCUCCUUCUUUCUAGAAGGUUCAUUUCUCUGUCUGCCUCUCUCUCUCUCUGGUUGUGCGAUCUGAUCUGCCAUUAGAGCUCAAACUGAGCUCACCUCUUCCUCUUCGACUAUCCCCUAACUUUCACAUGGUAUCAGAGUGGGAUAACAACCUGAAGUCUCAUCUCCUUUCGAUUUUUCAUUCUUCUACUCACAAAUUCAGGAAUUCACUCGUUUUUGGAAAUUAGGGUUCCUGUGUGGAAAUCGAUCAAUUAGUCAGUUAUUCCUAGCAAUUCAUCUUCACCGAUAACCAUUUCAUCCGAGUCAAUUCGAAUCAUGGUCGGAGAAGACGAAGCCCCAACAACCCUAGCGACGAACAAAACCCUAGAUUCAAUAAGUCCACUAUACAUGCAUCCAUCGGAAAGCGCUGGAUCUAUGCUAGUUCCGAUAGCCUUUGACGGAACUGGUUACAAAUCAUGGAGAAGAGGAAUCCUCAGAGCAAUCUCCAUGAAAAACAAAUUAGGGUUUAUUACCGGAAAAUGUAAGAAGCCAGAUUCUGAUUCGGCAGACCUUGAUCAAUGAGAGCGAUGCGAUGAUAUGUAACUUAAUUGAUCUUAAACUCACUGUCUAAGGACCUAGUGACAGUCUGCAAUACAUCAAUGAUGAUGAAGAGCUUUGGCAAGAGCUAGAAGACAUAUACGAUCAAACUAAUGGCGCCAAGUUGUAUCAACUACAAAAAGAGAUUAAUGAUCUGAGCCAAGGAAGCCUGGACAUCAUUAGAUAUUAUACAAAAAUUAAGAAGCUUUGGGAAGAACUUAAUACCCUGAAUGUUCAUGCCAAAUGUGCUUGUAAAUGCACCUGUGGAGCAAGAGAAAACAUUCAUAAAGCUGAACAAGAUAGAAGAUUAAUUCAGUUCCUAAUGGGGCUCAAUGAAGUGUAUACUAUUGUGAGAAUGAGUAUUCUGAUUAUGAACCCUCUCCCAACAAUAGUUCAAGCCUUCUAUAUUCUCAUUCAAGAGGAGAAACAAAGGGAAGUUAAGCCAAGUAAUAGUUUUUCAAUGGACUCUGCUGCCUUGAAUGUGAGUGGAUCAGGAAAUGACAACUUCAAAACUAACUACAAUCAACAGGGAAACAACAACACCUACCGUGGAUAUAAGGAAAACCAAUUUAACAGCAGAUCUAGACCAUUCUGUGACUACUGCAAGAGGCCAAGGCACACUAAGGACAAAUGCUACAAACUUCAUGGAUUCCCACAGAGUUCCAGGUUCAAUAAGGGAAGAAGAAUUGCUGGAAAUGUAUUUGGAUCACCAAAUGAAGCUGAUGCAGUAAAGGAUGAUGGAAAUAGCCCUCAAGAACAGGAACAGAGUUGAUACAUGCAUAGUCUGACUAAAGAACAAUAUGGCCAACUACUCACCAUUUUGGAAAGCUUUCAAGGAGGAGCAGAUAAAUCCACAAGCAAUUGCAUCAAUGGAGGAACUGUGAACUUUGCAGGUAUUUCAGCAUGCUCUACUCAUUUUGACUCUAGUGAUCAUUUGUGUGAUAGUUCUAGUUCAAAUGCUGACACUUGGAUCCUUGAUUCUGGAGCCACAAAUCACAUGACACAUAACAAAUCAAUCCUAACUAAUGUUAAAACCUUAGUUUACCCAUACCUAGUCACCCUACCAAAUGGCUACAAGGUUAAGGUGACACUGAUUGGUGAUGUAGUCCUAAGUCCAAAAUUCAGUCUCAAGAAGGUCCUUUUUGUUCCCAGUUUUAAAUUCAAUAUGAUAUCAGUCCAUUCUUUGACAGUUCAUCUUGAUUGUAUUGUAGUAUUCACCAAGUACAUUUGUAUUCUUCUACAGGGCCCUUCACUGAAGAGGCCACUGGAGAUUGGUAAAGCCAAGACUGGUUUGUAUCGACACAGUUCAAGAAACUACAACACUGGUUCAACCCUCUCUAAUUCUUCUAGUGCAUCCAUUCCAUGUUUUACUAAUAAUGAGAACAAUAUAGAUUCUGUAGUUAAGACAUCUAGCUCACUUCCUUCCUCUCAACUAGUUAGUACAAGUAAACUGGUUUCUACUGUUCCUAUUACUUCCAUCAUGGUUACCCCAUCUUAUAGUAGUAAUAAAAAUAGUUGACCUCCACAUUCAGAUUACUCUGUAAAUAGUUCAAGCAAUAAAAGUGAGUUGUCUUUGUCUAGUAAUUCCUUUACUAUAGAAUUUUUACCUGAUCUUUUGGAGCAUAACAGAUUAGGAAAUGUACCUUUUGUCAAAAUGAAGGGGAUUUCUUCUAUACUUGUUGCCUUUGCACCCAAACAACCUUUUCUUUGUCCUAUCUGUCCAAUGGCAAGACAAACCAGAUUGUCUUUCCCAGAAAGAACAACAUUGACUACCAAACCUUUUGAACUGUUACAUAUUGACUUGUGGGGCCCUUACCAUGUUACAACACAUAAUAAAUACAAAUACUUUAUUACCCUUGUGUAUGAUUACAGCAGGUCCACAUGGACCCACUUAUUAAGCUGUAAAAGCAAUGCUCUACACACCAUUAAGGCCUUUUUUGACAUGGUAGAGCAACAAUUCAAUACCAAUAUCAAAACUAUAAGAACAGACAAUGGUCUUGAGUUCACCAGCCAAGAGACCACCUCAUUCUUACAAUCAAAGGGCAUUAUACAUCAAAGGACAUAUCCAUACACACCUUAACAAAAUGGUGUGGUGGAAAGAAAACACAAAUAUUUGUUAGUAACAGCCACGGCUCUACUUUAUCAGUCAAAAUUACUCAUGUAGUAUUGGGGAGAAUGUAUUCUGACCUCUACCUACCUCAUAAACAGACUGCCCUCUUCAUCACUCAAAACAAAAUGUCCCUUUGAACUGUUGUACCAGAAAAAGCCAAGCUAUUCUCAUCUCAAAAGCUUUUGUUGUUUGUGAUUUCCUACUACUCUCAAAACACACAAAGAUAAGUUUGAGCCAAGAACUACUCCCUAUGUUUUUGUGGGAUAUCCCUUUGGGACAAAAGGCUAAAAGGUACUAAAUCUGGCCAUUAAGAAGAUAAAUGUUUCAAGAGAUGUAGUGUUUCAUGAGAAUGUAUUCCCAUUUGCCAUGUUCACUGAGUCAAACAAAGUCUUUCCUUCAUUUCCUCAAAUGAAAUCAUACCUGUCAAAUGAUUUGUUUUCUCCUAGUGAUAUAGGUAGUGUUCCACAUUCAGCAAAUGAUAAUGCUCACCAUGAAGUGUCACCUGGGAACCAGCCCAGGCAUGAGCCCUACUCACCCCCAUCUAAUCCUUAUAAUGAUAAUUCCAGAUCUUCUCACUCACCUUUGGGAAGCCAAACAUCAGGAAGCUUUCCUGUGGUUGACACUCUAGGAGAUACCUCUCCUGAUGCACCUCACAACCCAGCUGUUAUAAUCCAAGAUCAAGGAACUUCAAUUCCAAAUCAGAACAGACCCUCUAGAACUUUGAAAAUUCCUACCUAUCUUAAAGAUUAUGAGUGCACUCUUCCCAGACUCCAACAAACUCAUCAAAACCAACCAACUUCUCCAAAUGAUAGCCAAAGUACACAGUCUUUUUCCUGCAACACAUCUGCCCCUAAAUCUCUUGAUAACUUACCCAAUGAAACACAUUCCACUUGUUAGCAUUUGAUAGGAACUGGUCCACAUGAAUGUGAACCUAGCUCAUAUAAGGAAGCUGCUGUAAAGCCUGCCUGGCAAGCAGCAAUGAAUCAAGAAUUCCAAGCAUUGUAUGCAAAUAAAACCUGGGAUCUAGUUCCUCUUCCAAUUGGAAAGAAUGCAAUUGGGUGUAAAUGGGUAUAUAAGAUUAAACAUAAGGCAGAUGGUAGUGUAGAGAGAUUUAAAGCUAGAUUAGUAUUAAGGAGUAUACACAACAAGCUGGGAUAGAUUACACAGAAACAUUCUCACAUGUAGUAAAAAUGACAAUUGUUAGGACUUUAAUAGCAACAUCAGUCAAGAAGGGGUGGCAAGUCUUGCAGCUAGAUGUAAAUAAUGCCUUUCUUCAUGGGGAUCUCCAUGAAGAGGUGUAUAUGGAGAUACCACAGGUCUAGUUGUGAACUCACCAGGCUUAGUGUGCAAGUUGAACAAGUCCCUGUAUGGGCUCAAACAAGCAAGUAGACAAUGGUAUGAGAAAUUAACUGAAGCCUUGUGUUCAAGGGGUACACUCAUUCAAUGCUUGAUUAUUCUUUAUUCUAUAAAAAGAGUGAAGUCUCAGUAGUGUUUGUAGCUGUGUAUGUAGAUGAUGUUCUUGUUACUGGUACCCAUCUGCAAGAGAUUGAGUCCCUGAAAACCUUUCUACACAAUACCUUUAAGAUAAAGGACCUAGGGAGACUUCAUUACUUCCUAGGACUAGAAGUUCAAUACACAGAGAAAGGGGUCCUGAUAUCACAAAGAAAAUUCACUAUUGAUCUUUUGAAAGAAUUUGGAUGUAUAGAUUGUCCCUCUAUGACCUCUCCUAUGGAUCCCUUUGUGAAAUUAAAGGCUGAUGAGGGAGCUUCACUACCUGAUCCUUCUUAUUAUAGGAAGUUGAUUGGCAAACUUAACUUUCUCACCAACACCAGAUUGGAUAUUGCAUAUAGUGUACAACAUCUCAGUCAAUUCAUGCAAAGUCCCAGGGAACCCCAUUUGAAGGCAACAUACCAUAUCCUAAGAUACUUAAAAAGUGAUCCAUACUUGGGCAUCUUCCUCAACAACACUGCAGAUUAUGGAGUGAAGGCAUUCUGUGAUUCAGAUUGGGCCACCUGCUCCCAAUCAAGAAAAUUAGUUAGUGGGUACAUUGUGCUGUUUGGUACCAGUCCUAUUAGCUGGAGGUCUAAGAAGCAGUCUACUGUUUCACUAUCAUCUGCAGAAGCUGAAUAUAGGUUAGCUAGAAUGGUGGUUAGUGAACUUGUAUGGUUGGCAAGACUUCUAAAUGAACUUACUAUUCCAUUUGUCCUUGCCUAUCCCCAUCUUCUGUGAUAGCCAAGCUGCUUUACACAUAGCAAGAAACCCUGUGUUUCAUGAAUGAACAAAACAUAUCGAAGUGGAUUGUCAUUUUGUGAAAGAUCAACUACAGGAAAGACUAAUUUCUCUUCAUCAUGUUUCUACUAAUGACCAGCUAGCUGACAUCUUGACCAAGUCUUUUUAACAGGGAUCAAUCAUGCCACACUUCUUAGCAAGUUGGAUGUGAGGUCCUCCCCUCCAACUUGAGGGGGGGGGGGGGUGUUGAGAUUAUUUAUUAUUUCAUUCUUUCAUACUUGUAUUUUGUAUUAGCCAUUAGGUAAUUAGUUAGUGUUGAGUAAUUGUACAACUACUAUGAAUAGGACAUUAACUUUGUAUUUCUUUUUUUUUCCAAUGAGUUACAAU